AUGAGGCGUCUAUGUAUAUAUGUCUGUGGCUGUGUCCAAAUUCAGGGGCACCAUCCUUCGGAGUCUUGUCAUCAACAUGCUAAUAAAAUUUUGGAAAAAAAAAAAAAAAAAGGACCGAACAUGGCCGGCUCGCUCCAAUUAGGAGAUACUGAGCGGGCAGUUAUGGCAGGUGUGCCUGUUGCACUCCAAGGUGCACUUCCGCCGGUACCGUCCACACCGUUAACGGUCUCCACACCCCAGGUUAACCCACAGGCCCCUACAGCUGUGUCCUCAGGCACUGCCACCUUUGCUACCACUAUGACAUCACUGAGAUCAGAUGGGCAUACAGUACUUUCCAAAGAGGACAUUGAGGGUUUGCUGCUGCUGGGAACAACGCUUUCUGAAGUGGCUUCAGUCCUGUGGAUCACCGGACCCACUUUAUACAAGCUGAUGUGGGAAUACAACAUAAGGCACACAAAAUUCAGUACCAUUUCUGAUUAGGAAUUGGAUGCUUGAUAUUUUCUAUGAACUGGAGUCAAUGGAGGCCUUGGAUGUAGACAAUGAAUGGGAAUUAUUUUGUCUUCAUUUUGUGUACAUUCUAAGGAUCAAUUGCACAUUAGAUGAGUUUAAAGCUGCAUUUAACAAUCAUUCAAUCACAUCUCAAGUAAACAGAACCCCACUUCAGCUUUUCACACUAGACAAACAACUCUUGAGCCAAUAAUAAUGAAGGUACUUAAGUAAAGAAUGUAACAUUAACAUGUCAAUCAGUAGUGGUGUACAUUUAACAAUGCUGUACUGUAAAUACUUUUUGAGCAGAUUGGUAGAAAGGCUAAACAGUUU
rnacentral:lncRNA from 1 species